CGGGGAACCGGAGCCCCCGCUGCGACUCCGCCGGGACAGCAGCUUCCGGCGCCCCGGCAGCCUCCUGCCCUCGGGGCACUCGCUCCCCCGAGGUGUACUCCCCGAGGGCUGGGGGAGCGCAUUCCCUCCCGUCCUACUGAUUAACUUUCAGCAAAUGGGGAUGCCCAAAGGAGCAGAUAGCGAGUGACCUGUGGCCCUGCUGUUUGAUUCUGGAUGGAGUUACGUUUAGGAGCCUGGCAGCAAACUGGGGCAACUGUUCAAUUAGUGAUGAUGCCAUACUCUGGGCAUGGAGAGAGUGGAGAAGGAAAUAAAUUCUCUUUUCUUCUUG